GGGAACUACGAGCCAAGCUUAAAACCCAAAGGACUUGACGGUACCCCAUAUCCCCCUAGAGGAGCCUGUCCUAUAAUCGAUAACCCCCGUUUAACCUCACCAUUUCUAGCAACUCAGCCUGUAUACCUCCGUCGUCAGCUUACCACGUGAGCGCUAGUGAGCUCAAUGUUUUUUCAACUAAACGUCAGGUCAAGGUGCAACACAUGAAGUGGGAAGAGAUGGGCUACACUUUCUAAAAUAGAUCACACGGAAGACUAACUAUGAAAUCUAGUCAGAAGGGCGGAUUUAGAAAGUAAAAAAAGCAACCAGGAAAGUCCUUUUUUAACCCCGGCCACCUGGGGGUGUGUACACACCGCCCGUCACCCCUCCCUCAAUGCUUUUCAAGGA
rnacentral:rRNA from 1 species